rnacentral:rRNA from 1 species
CGGAAUGCUUUACACAUGCAAGUCGAACGGUAGAGGGGGCAACCCCGUCGAGAGUGGCGAACGGGUGAGUAAUAUAUCGGAACGUGCCCAGGAGGUGGGGGAUAACGCAGCGAAAGCUGUGCUAAUACCGCAUAUUAUCUGAGGAUGAAAGCGGGGGACUAAGCAGCAAUGUUUGGCCUCGCGCCUUUGGAGCGGCCGAUGUCAGAUUAGGUAGUUGGUGGGGUAAAGGCCUACCAAGCCGACGAUCUGUAGCUGGUCUGAGAGGACGACCAGCCACACUGGAACUGAGACACGGUCCAGACUCCUACGGGAGGCAGCAGUGGGGAAUUUUGGACAAUGGACGCAAGUCUGAUCCAGCCAUUCCGCGUGCAGGAUGAAGGCCCUCGGGUUGUAAACUGCUUUUGUACGGAACGAAAAGGUUUGUCUUAAUACGAUGAGCUCAUGACGGUACCGUAAGAAUAAGCACCGGCUAACUACGUG